GAUGAAGAACGUAGCGAAAUGCGAUAAGUAGUGUGAAUUGCAGAAUUCAGUGAAUCAUCGAAUCUUUGAACGCACAUUGCGCCCAUUGGUAUUCCAUGGGGCAUGCCUGUUCGAGCGUCAUUUGUACCUUCAAGCUCUGCUUGGUGUUGGGUGUUUGUCUCGCCUCUGCGUGUAGACUCGCCUCAAAACAAUUGGCAGCCGGCGUAUUGAUUUCGGAGCGCAGUACAUCUCGCGCUUUGCACUCAUAACGACGACGUCCAAAAGUACAUUUUUACACUCUUGACCUCGGAUCAGGUAGGGAUACCCGCUGAACUUAAGCAUAUCAAUAAGCGGAGGA
rnacentral:misc_RNA from 1 species